GGCCUCAGUCCUUCGCCGUCCCUCGCCGUCCUUCGCCAUCGCACGCCACCGCACCCCAUCUCUCGAAAUCUGCAGACAUCUUGAUUUUUCCCACGCUGUCUGUCAGGUCUCCGCCGCCACUCGACGCCAGGGCGCCGGGUGAGUCCACAGCAGGGCGCAUGGUCGGCUCCACUCUCACCAUCGGGGGAAACUGAGGCCCCGGGGAAGGCGGCCAGAGAGGUCAGGCCCUGUCCUUGGUGCAGUGUCUCGUCCUCUUUGCCGGAGUGAGCCCCCCAGGAUUCGCGUGUCCUCGGGAAAGACACUGGCAGGCCUUGUGGGCUGUGCUGCACCUCGGACGGCUUCGCACCAGCCAGCGCCCUCUCUCUCCUGCAGCACUCUGAUCUGCACCCCCUGAGGGGCUUCCACUGUCCGCGGGGUGAGAAUGCCCCUGGGAGUGUCACAUGACUGCCGCCCCAUGUGUGUGAGAGGCGUCCUCUGGGAGAGCAUGGAUCCUGAGGUCCCAGGAACAUCCCGAGAGCCAAGUUCCCAGAUGCCAGCCAAGGGCCAUCUGACCUGUUUUGAAUCUCAAUUUCCUGAUACAGAAAACAAAGGAUUGUCAGCUGACCUCUGUCCUGUGUGCCCAGUGGCCCCAGGUGACGUGUCUUCAAGAAGAGGCUGAGCUGCGGUGCUUGUAAGAGUCAUGUGCUGUUCCUGGGGCUUGGAUGAUGUAGGGGAAGCAAGGUGAAAGUGGUAUCCCGUGGUUCCACGUUCUGUCCUGCUGUGGGGCUGUCCCUCACAUGCUUUCAGUGGCUGUUGCAGAGGAAGAGCCUCCGGAAAUCUGCGUGGGUCUCAGCCUUAGAUCCAAGGACAGUCCAAGGAAGUCCUAAGACCAUGGAGUUGGUGAUCUGGGAUCUGGGUUUGCUGAUAUUUCUCACCGUGAAUCUCUUGGUGGUGUUUGUGGGCACGAGAGGGGCAGAGAAUGGAGAGUGAGGCUACCACAUGAAGCGUCACCAGAGCUGCUCCCUGCUGCCUGCUCAGAGCACCCCGGAUCCACUGUUCAAUCUGCACAAGAUUCGGGGUCCAGACAUGGGAGACUUCAGCUGCCUCAGAGGACCGUGGACAGGGAAGGCCAGCCUCGCAUCCCUCUGUCCAUGCCUGGAAUGACUUUAAUAACCAAGAGUUUUAUUUUUGAAUUUGUAGCUGUCGUUCACUUUUUACCCACCCAUUCAAUAAACCUUACAGAAUUGC
rnacentral:lncRNA from 1 species